GUUGCUCUGAUUUGCUUAUUGCACCACAUGUGUUUUUCUUUGAAACAAACUUGCUUUGGCGGUGGGCCCAGCCUGCCGCCAGAGGUCUAAACUUACAACCAAUUUUUUAUCAACUUGUCACACCAGAUUAUUACUAAUAGUCAAAACUUUCAACAACGGAUCUCUUGGUUCUCGCAUCGAUGAAGAACGCAGCGAAAUGCGAUACGUAAUAUGAAUUGCAGAUAUUCGUGAAUCAUCGAAUCUUUGAACGCACAUUGCGCCCUCUGGUAUUCCGGAGGGCAUGCCUGUUUGAGCGUCGUUUCUCCCUCAAACCGCUGGGUUUGGUGUUGAGCAAUACGACUUGGGUUUGCUUGAAAGACGGUAGUGGUAAGGCGGGAUCGCUUUGACAAUGGCUUAGGUCUAACCAAAAACAUUGCUUGCGGCGGUAACGUCUACCACGUAUAUCUUCAAACUUUGACCUCAAAUCAGGUAGGACUACCCGCUGAACUUAAGCAUAUCAAUAAGCGGAGGAA
rnacentral:rRNA from 1 species